CACGUAGGGCGCAAGCGUUGUCCGGAAUUAUUGGGCGUAAAGAGCUCGUAGGCGGUCUGUUGCGUCCGCUGUGAAAACCCGGGGCUUAACCCUGGGCUGGCAGUGGAUACGGACAGACUAGAGGUAGGUAGGGGAGAAUGGAAUUCCCGGUGUAGCGGUGAAAUGCGCAGAUAUCGGGAGGAACACCGGUGGCGAAGGCGGUUCUCUGGGCCUUACCUGACGCUGAGACGCGAAAGCGUGGGGAGCAAACAGG
rnacentral:rRNA from 1 species